CACAGGUUAGGGUAGUCAGCACAGGUUAGGGUAGUCAGCACAGGUAGGUAUCACUGGAAGGUUAGGGUAUCAGCACAGGUUAGGGUAUCAGCACAGGUUAGGGUAUCAGCACAGGUUAGGGUAUCAGCACAGGUUAGGGUAUCAGCACAGGUUAGGGUAGUCAGCACAGGUAGGUAUCACUGGAAGGUUAGGGUAUCAGCACAGGUUAGGGUAUCAGCACAGGUUAGGGUAUCAGCACAGGUAGGUAUCACUGGAAGGUUAGGGUAUCAGCACAGGUUAGGGUAUCAGCACAGGUUAGGGUAUCAGCACAGGUUAGGGUAGUCAGCACAGGUUAGGGUAGUCAGCACAGGUAGGCAUCACUGGAAGGUUAGGGUAUCAGCACAGGUUAGGGUAUCAGCACAGGUUAGGGUAUCAGCACAGGUUAGGGUAUCA
rnacentral:lncRNA from 1 species